GCCCUCAUAACUCAAUCGGUAGAGUAGCGGUCUUUUAAACCGUAUGUUGUAGGUUCGAGUCCUACUGGGGGUACUA
rnacentral:tRNA from 1 species